rnacentral:rRNA from 1 species
GAUGAACGCUGGCGGCGUGCCUAAUACAUGCAAGUCGAGCGAACAGACGAGGAGCUUGCUCCUUUGACGUUAGCGGCGGACGGGUGAGUAACACGUAGGUAACCUACCUAUAAGACUGGGAUAACUUCGGGAAACCGGAGCUAACACCGGAUAAUAUUUCGAACCGCAUGGUUCGAUAGUGAAAGAUGGCUUUGCUGUCCCUUAUAGAUGGACCUGCGCCGUAUUAGCUAGUUGGUACGGUAACGGCUUACCAAGGCAACGAUACGUAGCCGACCUGAGAGGGUGAUCAGCCACACUGGAACUGAGACACGGUCCAGACUCCUACGGGAGGCAGCAGUGGGGAAUCUUCCGCAAUGGGCGAAAGCCUGACGGAGCAACGCCGCGUGAGUGAUGAAGGUCUUCGGAUCGUAAAGCUCUGUUAUUAGGGAAGAACAAACGUGUAAGUAACUGUGCACGUCUUGACGGUACCUAAUCAGAAAGCCACGGCUAACUACGUG